rnacentral:rRNA from 1 species
CGAACGCUGGCGGCAGGCCUAACACAUGCACGUCGAGCGGACAUCUUCGGAUGUUAGCGGCGGACGGGUGAGUAACGCGUGGGGACGUGCCCUUUGCUUCGGAAUAGCCUCGGGAAACUGGGAGUAAUACCGGAUGUACCCUUUGGGGGAAAGAUUUAUCGGCAAAGGAUCGGCCCGCGUUGGAUUAGGUAGUUGGUGGGGUAAUGGCCUACCAAGCCGACGAUCCAUAGCUGGUUUGAGAGGAUGAUCAGCCACACUGGGACUGAGACACGGCCCAGACUCCUACGGGAGGCAGCAGUGGGGAAUCUUAGACAAUGGGGGAAACCCUGAUCUAGCCAUGCCGCGUGAGCGAUGAAGGCCUUAGGGUUGUAAAGCUCUUUCACCGGGGAAGAUAAUGACGGUACCCGGAGAAGAAGCCCCGGCUAACUCCGUG